CGGAAACCGCUUGUUCAUUGGGCAGUUCAGCCGCUUCUCCACUUGCCCCGCGCGCUCAUUGCGUCUAGGAGGGGAUCCAUUGAUCAGCGAAGCUGUUCCUCAGAGUGGAGGCGGGAUUCUUAGGGGAGAGCUCCUCAGCAAUUGGUUACAUUUGACGGCUUUAGUCCAGGGACCCAGACGCUACUGGAUAAGGCCAGCCCGGAGUGGGCGGGGAAAGGGGAGGAGGGCUAGAAGGUGGGUCGUGUUUGAUGUCGAUGGGGGCGGGGUGAAGAGACGGGUAAUUGUGACCGCAAACUGCUUUAGAGGGCUGGGGGUGAAAUUUGAGGUCAUAUCCCGGGAGAGAGGAAGAAGGGUCGUGAGUCACCGAACCCGAAGGAGAGGAAAAGAUGUGGAGGCAGCGGUCUAUGGCCUCUUCCAGCUCCGGACGGGGGAUGGGGACGCUCUGGGCAAUACGGGCCUCAGUUAUUGUCCCACUGUCCUUUCAACCCUUAACCAACCCAGUUGGAGGCCGCCUGGAAGAAUGUAGCCUUGGAACUAGGGCCUGGAAUUGGGGCUCCUACCGGUUGUGUGGGCUUGGGCAAGUCACUUAACCUUCCCGCAUGCUCCCUUCACUUGGCAACUGAGGGUAACAAUAGUAGUUGAUGAGAAGAUUAAAUAAACUCUGAUAAAUGCCAAC
rnacentral:lncRNA from 10 species